CCUACGGGUGGCAGCAGUGAGGACUAUUGGUCAAUGGGCGGGAGCCUGAACCAGCCAAGUCGCGUGAGGGAAGACGGUCCUACGGAUUGUAAACCUCUUUUGCCGGGGAGCAACGGGGUCCUUGCGAGGGCCCAAUGAGAGUACCCGGAGAAAAAGCAUCGGCUAACUCCGUGCCAGCAGCCGCGGUAAUACGGAGGAUGCGAGCGUUAUCCGGAUGUAUUGGGUUUAAAGGGUGCGUAGGCGGUCCGUUAAGUCAGCGGUAAAAUUGCGGGGCUCAACCCCGUCGAGCCGUUGAAACUGGCAGACUUGAGUUGGCGAGAAGUACGCGGAAUGCGCGGUGGAGCGGUGAAAUGCAUAGAUAUCGCGCAGAACUCCGAUUGCGAAGGCAGCGUACCGGCGCCAGACUGACGCUGAGGCACGAAAGCGUGGGGAUCGAACAGGAUUAGAUACCCCUGUAGUC
rnacentral:rRNA from 1 species